GGGGGACAAAGUGACAGGUGGUGCAUGGUUGUCGUCAGCUCGUGUCGUGAGAUGUUGGGUUAAGUCCCGCAACGAGCGCAACCCUUAAGCUUAGUUGCCAUCAUUAAGUUGGGCACUCUAAGUUGACUGCCGGUGACAAACCGGAGGAAGGUGGGGAUGACGUCAAAUCAUCAUGCCCCUUAUGAUUUGGGCUACACACGUGCUACAAUGGACAAUACAAAGGGCAGCUAAACCGCGAGGUCAAGCAAAUCCCAUAAAGUUGUUCUCAGUUCGGAUUGUAGUCUGCAACUCGACUACAUGAAGCUGGAAUCGCUAGUAAUCGUAGAUCAGCAUGCUACGGUGAAUACGUUCCCGGGUCUUGUACACACCGCCCGUCACACCACGAGAGUUUGUAACACCCGAAGCCGG
rnacentral:rRNA from 1 species